ensembl:misc_RNA 7SK 7SK RNA
GGAUAUAAAGGUGAUCUGGCUGCGACAUCUGUCACCCCAUUGAUUGCCAGGGUUGAUUUGGCUGAUCUGGCUGGCUAGGCGGGUGUCUCCUUCCUCCCUCACCGCUCCAUGUGCAUACCUCCCGAAGCUGCGCGCUUGGUCGAAGAGGACGUCCUUCCCCGAAUAGAGAUGGACCGGUCUUUGGUCAAGGGUAUACGAGUAGCUGCACUCCCCUGCUAGAACCUCCAAACAAGCUCUCAAAUGACUUAUCUGAUUGAAUUUUAACAGUGGGCUUAAAUUGUUAAUGCAUUUCUAAUAAUAACUUAAAAAAUAGU